rnacentral:rRNA from 1 species
UGGGGAAUUUUCCGCAAUGGGCGAAAGCCUGACGGAGCAACGCCGCGUGAGGGAUGAAGGCCUCUGGGCUGUAAACCUCUUUUCUCAAGGAAGAAGAUCUGACGGUACUUGAGGAAUAAGCCUCGGCUAAUUCCGUGCCAGCAGCCGCGGUAAUACGGGAGUGGCAAGCGUUAUCCGGAAUUAUUGGGCGUAAAGCGUCCGCAGGCGGCCUCGUAAGUCUGUCGUUAAAGCGUGGAGCUUAACUCCAUUUCAGCGAUGGAAACUGCGAGGCUAGAGUGUGGUAGGGGCAGAGGGAAUUCCCGGUGUAGCGGUGAAAUGCGUAGAUAUCGGGAAGAACACCAGUGGCGAAGGCGCUCUGCUGGGCCAUAACUGACGCUCAUGGACGAAAGCCAGGGGAGCGAAAGGGAUUAGAUACCCCUGUAGU